rnacentral:rRNA from 1 species
GCAAGUCGAACGGUAACAGGAAAAGCUUGCUUUUCGCUGACGAGUGGCGCACGGGUGCGUAACGCGUAUGAAACUUACCCUAUACAGGGAGAUAGCCCGAAGAAAUUCGGAUUAAUACCCCAUAAUGAUACAGAUUCGCAUGUUUUUGUAUUUAAAGAUUUAUCGGUAUAGGAUGGUCAUGCGUGACAUUAGCUAGAUGGUAAGGUAACGGCUUACCAUGGCAACGAUGUCUAGGGGUUCUGAGAGGAUGAUC